GCGACUUUUGCAUAAACCAAAAUUAGAAUCAAAUUGGAAGAGAGAAAAAAAAAUGGUGGACUUGGCUAGGGUUCAAAAGGAGCUCCAUGAAUGCAACAGAGAUGUUCAGGUUUCUGGAAUUAAUGUUCUCCUUAAAGGUGACAGUCUCACUCACUUGAUUGGUACAAUCCCUGGUCCUGUUGGUACUCCUUACGAAGGCGGUACUUUCAAGAUCGAUAUCACUCUUACUGAUGGCUACCCAUUUGAGCCUCCAAAAAUGAAAUUCGCCACAAAAGUUUGGCAUCCCAACAUAAGUAGUCAAAGUGGAGCAAUAUGCCUAGACAUCCUGAAGGACCAGUGGAGCCCAGCACUAACUCUCAAGACAGCUCUCCUUUCUAUACAAGCAUUACUUUCUGCUCCUGAACCUGAUGAUCCACAAGAUGCAGUUGUUGCACAGCAGUAUCUUAGAGAACAUCAGACCUUUGUCGGCACAGCUCGUUACUGGACUGAGACUUUUGCAAAAACAUCCACACUUGCUGCAGACGACAAGAUACAAAAGCUUGUGGAAAUGGGCUUUCCUGAAGCUCAAGUGAGGAGUACUUUGGAAGCAAAUGGUUGGGAUGAAAACAUGGCUCUUGAAAAGCUGUUGUCCAGCUAAAACCCUUCUACUGCAACUCAUAUUUUGAUAAGACAAUUAUAUCCUUCCAGCAAAAGCUGAUGACUAGAAUAGAGUCACUCGGUUAUACUGUUGCUUGGCAAUCUUGUUUCUGUCUCCUUUAUGGUUUGCUGUUGACAUCUCUUCAUAUCCUGUGAAGAUUCUGAUGUUAUUUUACAAUAUCAAGCAAAUUGCAUAUGAAUCAUGGGGAGGAAGUGGACUUUCCGGGUGAAAUGUUAUUAAAUAGUUCAGCCUAAGCUUGCUUAUUGCUGUCUUCUUUUGUAAAUUUAUUCUACUAAAUUACUGUAUUACCACCUUUCUCAUAACCUCUUAUUCUCUGAAACUUAGAACUG
rnacentral:misc_RNA from 1 species